UACAGAGGUGGCAAGCGUUGUUCGGAAUUACUGGGCGUAAAGGGCGCGUAGGCGGUCCGAUAAGUCCCGUGUGAAAUCCCUCGGCUCAACUGAGGAACCGCACGGGAAACUGCCGGGCUUGAGUUCGGGAGAGGGAAGCGGAAUUCCGGGUGUAGCGGUGAAAUGCGUAGAUAUCCGGAGGAACACCGGUGGCGAAGGCGGCUUCCUGGACCGACACUGACGCUGAGGCGCGAAAGCCAGGGGAGCAAACGGG
rnacentral:rRNA from 1 species